rnacentral:rRNA from 1 species
CGGCCGCGUCGACGGCGUGCUUAACACAUGCAAGUCGAACGAUGAAGCCCAGCUUGCUGGGUGGAUUAGUGGCGAACGGGUGAGUAACACGUGAGUAACCUGCCCUUAACUCUGGGAUAAGCCUGGGAAACUGGGUCUAAUACCGGAUAGGAGCGCCUACCGCAUGGUGGGUGUUGGAAAGAUUUAUCGGUUUUGGAUGGACUCGCGGCCUAUCAGCUUGUUGGUGAGGUAAUGGCUCACCAAGGCGACGACGGGUAGCCGGCCUGAGAGGGUGACCGGCCACACUGGGACUGAGACACGGCCCUGACUCCUACGGGAGGCAGCAGUGGGGAAUAUUGCACAAUGGGCGCAAGCCUGAUGCAGCGACGCCGCGUGAGGGAUGACGGCCUUCGGUUGUAAACCUCUUUCAGUAGGAAGAAGCGAAAGUGACGGUACCUGCAGAAGAAGCACCGGCUAACUACGUGCCAGCAGCCGCGGUAAGUACGUAGGUGCGAGCGUAUACGGUAUAUUGGACGUAAGAGCUCGUAGUCGGUUGUUCG